GGAUGUGAGAGAAAUCUGGCUGGCUAGGUGGGUGUCCCCUUGCUCCUUCACCGCUUCAUGUGCAUCCCUUCCAAAGCCAUGCACUCAAAGAGUAUGGCCUUCCUCAAACAGAGAUGGACCGAUCUUUAGUCGAGGGUAUACGAGUAGCUGCACUCCCCUGCUAGAACCUUCAAACAAAGCUCUCAAGGAAAAGGGCACUGAUGCUGCAAGGAAAGCCUUAAUAACCUGCCACGCUUGUUCUUAUCGU
rnacentral:snRNA from 1 species